rnacentral:sRNA from 1 species
AAAUAAGGUAAUGCUUUCCAUUUUAUUAUUAGCGCAAGGCUCGCGAUGAGCCGUUUCCCAAAGCCCGUGACCAGGAAUAGUUACGGGCUAUUUUUU